rnacentral:lncRNA from 1 species
UCUCUCUCUCUCUCUCUCUCUCUCUCUCAAUGUUACUGUAUCUGCUGACAAUAUUGAGUAUAAUAAAAUGAUUCGAAGGGACGAGUUCCAAAGAAGUUGCUGCGCGAUGCAAAAGUUAUACUUCUGAUUUCUUGCGAUGAGGGUGGUACCUAAGCUUGAACUCUAGAAGAGUGGUUCAAAGCCACAAGCAUGCGACCACUUGAGAAGUAAAGCUUCGGUACUGUCGGUUUCUUGAUGUGUUGCAGACAUGUCGACUCUCUCCCCCGCAAGCAGACAAGUAUUUUAGCUCUUGGCAUUUAAAUUCGACCUUACAGAGCCGAAUUGAAAAGGCUUAUCCUAUCCGAUGUUUGAGGUGGAUCCAUUGAAUUAAAA